CAAGAUAUAAUUUAAGGAGAAUACUAGCUUUGGGGGUUAGUUGUGGGAGUUAAAUUCUCUCUAUCUUGA
rnacentral:tRNA from 1 species